rnacentral:rRNA from 1 species
UCCUGCGGAAUAGCUCCGGGAAACUGGAAUUAAUACCGCAUACGCCCUACGGGGGAAAGAUUUAUCGGGGAAGGAUUGGCCCGCGUUGGAUUAGCUAGUUGGUGGGGUAAAGGCCUACCAAGGCGACGAUCCAUAGCUGGUCUGAGAGGAUGAUCAGCCACAUUGGGACUGAGACACGGCCCAAACUCCUACGGGAGGCAGCAGUGGGGAAUAUUGGACAAU